rnacentral:rRNA from 1 species
UACGAGAGGCCCAAACGUUAUUCGGAAUUACUGGGCUUAAGGAGUUCGUAGGCGGCAUGGAAAGUAGGGUGUGAAAUCCCUCGGCUCAACCGAGGAAUUGCGCUCUAAACUGCCGUGCUAGAGGAAGCUAGAGGUGAGCGGAACUGAUGGUGGAGCGGUGAAAUGCGUUGAUAUCAGCAGGAACACCGGAGGCGAAGGCGGCUCACUGGGGCUUUUCUGACGCUGAGGAACGAAAGCCAGGGUAGCGAACGGG